rnacentral:rRNA from 1 species
CCCUUAGAUGUUCUGGGCCGCACACGCGCUACACUGGCAGGUUCAUCGAGCUUCAUGCCCUGAUCUGAGAAGAACGGGAAAUCUUUGAACACCUGCCGUGCUUGGGAUAGAUGUUUGCAAUUAUUCAUCUUCAACGAGGAUUGCCUUGUAAGCGCACGUCAUCAGCGUGCAUUGAAUACGACCCUGUAUUCUGUACACACCGCCCGUCGCUCCUACCGAUUGAAGUUUUCGGUGAAUUUACCGGAGAUCCCUUUUGAAGGUGGUUCGCCACUGGAAGAAGUAUUCAAAAGUAAAUGAAUCGAAUGCUUUAGAGGAAGGAGAAGUCGUAACA